AGCAGCCGCGGUAAUUCCAGCUCCAAUAGCGUAUAUUAAAGUUGUUGCAGUUAAAAAGCUCGUAGUUGAAUUUCGGGAUCAAUUUAUUGGUCGUGCUAUUGUACGUACUGGUAUUAUUGAUUCCUACCUUCUGACGAACCAUGAUGUCAUUAAUUUGGUGUCAUGGGGAAUCAGGACUGUUACUUUGAAAAAAUUAGAGUGUUUAAAGCAGGCUCACGCUUGAAUACAUUAGCAUGGAAUAACGAAAUAGGACGUUUGAUUCUAUUUUGUUGGUUUCUAGGAUCGACGUAAUGAUUAAUAGGGAUAGUUGGGGGCAUUAGUAUUCAAUUGUCAGAGGUGAAAUUCUUGGAUUUAUUGAAGACUAACUACUGCGAAAGCAUUUGCCAAGGAUGUUUUCAUUUAUCAAGAACGAAAGUUAGGGGAUCGAAGACGAUCAGAUACCGUCGUAGUCUUAACCAUAAACUAUGCCGACUAGGGAUCGGAUGAUGUUAAUUUUUUAAUGACUCA
rnacentral:rRNA from 1 species